GCAAACCCCUCCCCUCGUCGGUCUGUAAGGAGGAUCUGCACCUAUUUAAAUAUUUCUGUAUUUUACUUACAAAGCCUGCAACGUCUAGAAGAGCAAGGGAGGUUGGGUUACACUUAUUUGAAGAGUUCUAACAGAGAUUUUAUUCAGUCUGGCUCCCGCUGUCUGCUAUGCUUCCUGGGAUCCUAGCCUGGCCUCCAGCUGCUGACUGAGCCACUGGAGAGCCCUUUCGUGCUGAGGAUAUUCUCUCUGGAUCUGGUGGACUAUGGCAUUCACGGUGAUAAGCCGGUCCUGCAAUUUCUGCUGCUCAUUUCUCCAGGCUUCUUCAGUGCGGCACAGUGGAGUGUAUUUCCCUUCCUUUACUGCCUGCAGGUGCUUCUGGCGUGUUUGAUAAGCCACAAUCUCCUGAAGAUUCUAAAAGAAGCGACAACAACAAUUGCUUUUAUGAUAAAUUGCAUGUAGAAAGGAACUAUAAGAAAACUGAGUAUGAUUCACGUCAUGGAGGUGAAUAGAAGAAAGAUUUAAAAUUCCCUUGAACGCCAGACUAAGUACAGCCAAGGUGUGACAGACUGCAAUCAGACCAGACAACACUGCAUGCAGAUCCAGCUUUGUUCCAUGUACCCUGCCAAAACAUCUUUCCAUAAGCCCAAAAUUCAAAUAAAGAUUUUGGAAAUAGA